CGUCCGGGUGAAAAGGGAAGCCGGUGCAAUUCCGGCACAACAGCCAUUACUGUGUUUUGCGUCAAUGCCGUCGCGGAUGCCAUUGGGCCACGGCCCGAGAAGGCGCGGCGGCAGGGGAGUAUCCCCGCGCAAUCAGUCAGGAGACCUGCCAGGCUUA
rnacentral:ncRNA from 1 species